GAUGAACGCUAGCGGCAGGCCUAACACAUGCAAGUCGAGGGGUAGAAGGAGCUUGCUCCUUUGAGACCGGCGCACGGGUGCGUAACGCGUAUGCAAUCUACCUUGUACAGGGGAAUAGCCCAGAUAAAUUUGGAUUAAUGCCCCAUAGUAUAUAACCUUCGCAUGUUGGUUAUAUUAAAGUUCCAACGGUACAAGAUGAGCAUGCGUCCCAUUAGUUAGUUGGUAAGGUAACGGCUUACCAAGACGAUGAUGGGUAGGGGUCCUGAGAGGGAGAUCCCCCACAAUGGUACUGAGAAACGGACAAGACUGCGAAGGGAGGCAGCAGUGAGGAAUAUUGGUCAAUGGUCGAAAGACUGAACCAGCCAUGCCGCGUGCAGGAAGACGGUCCUAUGGAUUGUAAACUGCUUUUAUACAGGAAGAAACCCUCCAACGUGUGGGAGCUUGACGGUACUGUAGGAAUAAGGAUCGGCUAACUCCGUG
rnacentral:rRNA from 1 species